AGUAACGGCGAGUGAAGCGGUAACAGCUCAAAUUUGAAAUCUGGCUCCCUGCGGAGUCCGAGUUGUAAUUUGUAGAAGAUGCUUUGGGUGCACGACCCGGCCUAAGUGCCUUGGAACAGGACGUCGUAGAGGGUGAGAAUCCCGUAUGCGGCNGGCGUNGACGCCCGUGUAAAGCUCUUUCGACGAGUCGAGUUGUUUGGGAAUGCAGCUCAAAAUGGGUGGUAAAUUUCAUCUAAAGCUAAAUAUGGGCCAGAGACCGAUAGCGCACAAGUAGAGUGAUCGAAAGAUGAAAAGCACUUUGGAAAGAGAGUUAAACAGUACGUGAAAUUGUUGAAAGGGAAGCGCUUGCAACCAGACUUGGGCGUCGCUGAUCAUCCAAAGUUCUCUUUGGUGCACUCGACGACGCACAGGCCAGCAUCGGUUGGGGUGGUGGGAGAAAGACUGUAGGAACGUAGCUCUUUUCGGAGAGUGUUAUAGCCUGCGGUGCAAUACUGCCUACCUCGACCGAGGACCGCGCUUCGGCUAGGAUGCUGGCGUAAUGGUUGUAAGCGACCCGUCUUGAAACACGGACCAAGGAGUCUAACAUCUAUGCGAGUGUUUGGGUGCGAAACCCAUGCGCGAAAUGAAAGUGAACGUAGGUGAGAACCCUUUGAGGGGGCAUCAUCGACCGAUCCUGAUGUCUUCGGAUGGAUUUGAAUAANANCAUANCUGUUGGGACCAA
rnacentral:rRNA from 1 species